rnacentral:rRNA from 1 species
AUUGAACGCUGGCGGCAUGCUUUACACAUGCAAGUCGAACGGUAACAGGCCGCAAGGUGCUGACGAGUGGCGAACGGGUGAGUAACGCAUCGGAACGUGCCCAGUCGUGGGGGAUAACGCAGCGAAAGCUGUGCUAAUACCGCAUACGAUCUAUGGAUGAAAGCGGGGGACCGUAAGGCCUCGCGCGAUUGGAGCGGCCGAUGUCAGAUUAGGUAGGUGGUGGGGUAAAGGCCUACCAAGCCGACGAUCUGUAGCUGGUCUGAGAGGAGGACCAGCCACACUGGGACUGAGACACGGCCCAGACUCCUACGGGAGGCAGCAGUGGGGAAUUUUGGACAAUGGGCGCAAGCCUGAUCCAGCAAUGCCGCGUGCAGGAAGAAGGCCUUCGGGUUGUAAACUGCUUUUGUACGGAACGAAACGGUCUGGGUUAAUACCCUGGGCUAAUGACGGUACCGUAAGAAUAAGCACCGGCUAACUACGUGCCAGCCGCCGCGGUAAAAC